GGGGCGGCCGUGGACUGUCUGAGCAAGAAUAUGCUCUCCGAGCUGAAGAACCUCGGCAAACCUCCCAGCGGCGUCGAUA
rnacentral:rRNA from 1 species